CGCAGCGAACUUUGUUACCGAUUCACACACGCUCUAAGUUUGAAAUAUGUUUGUCAAGCCGCUUGUGUGGUGCAUUUCGCUCUUAAAUAGUUCGAUACAUUGAUAGUGCCAUCGAUAGUUUGCCAUAGAGCUGCAAAACUAUCGAUGGUUGGACCACCAUUCGAUAUUUUCGAUAGUUUUGGGCCUCACCAUUCGAUAUUAUCGAUACUAUCGGUAAGAGAAAAAAUAUCAGAACCUUACUACGGCCGUUUUUAUAUUGAAUAUGGAAACAUUACUAGAAAAAAACAGAAAUGUUAGUUUUAAACACCAUUUUAGUGUGAUUUAUUAAAAAUAACAAAAUUAGUAUUUUAAGCAACAAAUACAACACGUUCAAGUCCAAAUUUUAAACAGUUUACAAAACCGAGGAAAAUUCGCGUUUUUCGAGUCAUCACAAUUUCGAGUUUUUUAAUUAGGUUUCUUAGAAAGUUUUUGAGUAUGCACUUUUGUUGUUUGAAGUUUGCUAAGGCUUGCCGUUGAAUUUUGGCAAUUUUUUGAUGCGGAUCGCUUUCCCAUGGUAUCGCGAUAGUGGCUACCAUUCAUCGAUAGUGGUGUCAAAGCGAAACUAUCGAUAGUUUCGCAGCUCUAGUUUGAAACUUUGCCAGUCUACCAUGAAAUGGCCUGCUGGUUUUCCGUUGGUUUUAUUUUCUUCUUUGCCAUCGUGAUAAGUACAUAGGUACGUUAAUCAUCAGAAAAAGACAAAAUUAGUGCGUGUUUAAAUAAGAUUUAAUUUACUGCAAAGGAAGAAUUUUUAGACCAAGCAGGACUUACUAGAUUAAGUGACACUUUUAAAGGUAACUCUAUAACAUCAUUUUACAGCCCGAUUCUGUGCACUUGAUAAAU